GAUGAACGCUGGCGGCGUGCCUAAUACAUGCAAGUCGAGCGAACAGAUGAGGAGCUUGCUCCUCUGACGUUAGCGGCGGACGGGUGUGUAACACGUGGAUAACCUACCUAUAAGUCUGGGAUAACUUCGGGACACCGGAGAUAAUACCGGAUAAUAUAUUGAACCGCAUGGUUCAAUAGUGAAAGACGGCUUUGCUGUCACUUAUAGAUGGAUCUGCGCCGCAUUAGCUAGUUGGUAAGGUAACGGCUUACCAAGGCAACGAUGCGUAGCCGACCUGAGAGGGUGGUCGGCCACACGGGAACGGAGACACGGUCCAGACGCCUACGGGAGGCAGCAGUAGGGAAUCUUACGCAAUGGGCGAGAGCAUGACGGAGCAACGCCGAGUGAGAUAUAAAGGUCUUCGGAUCGUAAAGAUCUGUUAUUAGGGAAGAACAAAUGUGUAAGUAAAUAUGGACGGCUUGACGGUAACUAAUCAGAAAGCAACGGCUAACUACGUG
rnacentral:rRNA from 1 species